GGAUUUGAACCCCAAUCUAUCUGACCAUGCAUUUUCUUCCUCACAGGGGAGCCUCUAGCUUCAUUAGGUGCCGGUGGACAGUGGGCACAUAGGCUAGCUGGCUACUCAGCAAGGGUGAGGGGAGGCCCUUGGCAUGGCUGGCCCUGGGCACAGGAAGCGUGAGUGCAGAGCUUGAGCGCUCAUAGUGUGUGGCUUGGGCUUGCUGGGGCUUGCUGUGGUGCUUGUCCCUGUCUACAGCCUUGAGCUUCCCUAUGCUCAGUGUUAGUGCCAUGAGUUGGAAGAACAAGAGAAACUCAGCACUGGGCCCCAAGGAAUUCACAGAUUUAAGACAGGAGGCCUCCUAAGUGCUGUCGCCUUUACAGCUUGGUGGGCGGUGAUGCUUUUUAGAAAUCUCCAUUUCUCCAUUUUCUGAGAGCUUCCCGACAUGUAGCCCGGGCUUCCUGGCUUCUGCUUUUGCCUCUGGGGCCGGGCCUCCAGGGGCUCCAGCAAUCCCUGCCAACAGGAGCUCAUGUUUUCAGCCUGCUGUCAGGCCCUCGAUCAGGAAACAGGGCCCCAUUUCCUCCUGGGACUUCUGAGCCGGCAUCCCAGGCCUCAGGUGCCUGCCUCCACCCAAGGAGACUCAGGAAAAGCAGGGCGAGCCGAGGGUGUGACCGGUAUGGGCUUCCCCCAGCUCGGCAUAUAUAUAUGGGGACGUGGGUGUUACUGGCAGUGCCUGCAGCUGCGCUGGCUGGGAGGCGCAGCCCAGCACCCACACCAGGCACACGCCCAUGACAUCACCCAGGCUCGCCUCACUCAAGCCUAUUUCUGUCAACACUCAUGCUUCAGCAUGCUCCGGCGACACCAGUACCUGUGCCUGAAGUUGUGGGGGGAGGUGGAGUCCCAGCCCAGCUGCCCCUCUGGCUCUAAGGAAAAACUGAGGCCCAGAGAGAUUAAGCUAAGAGGCAGCAGAGAUGGGAUUUAGGCCCAUCCAGAGUCCACAUGACGUUGCCUUCCACCUAGCACACAUUCCUACAUCCCUGUAGCAGUGAGACAGCAGAAGGGAUCAGACCAAGUUCCCGCUCCAGGAGAGCAGAGAGAAAUGCCAACAGACGUUUGUCAGCAGAAGACAUUUCAGUGUGAUAAGGGCC
ensembl:lncRNA